CAGGGUAGGAUCUCAGGGGUAUCCAGCCAGCCUUUCUUUGUACUGAAAGGGGUCACCUUUUCAAGCAUUGUAUUCACACAGCUUUGAGUUUAUUUCUUCUCUGAACUUCAUUUCUAAACCAUGACUGUUCUGGGUGAGCUGUGCUUAGAGACAUAACGGAGUUGAAGAUGGAUCCAAGGGCCCACAUGGAGAUCAAAAUGCAGCACUUGCUUCAUUUCUG